rnacentral:rRNA from 1 species
CCUACGGGAGGCAGCAGUGGGGAAUAUUGGGCAAUGGAGGCAACUCUGACCCAGCAACGCCGCGUGAAUGAUGAAGGUCUUCGGAUUGUAAAGUUCUUUUCUAAGGGAAGAAGAAAGUGACGGUACCUUAGGAAUAAGCCUCUGCUAACUACGUGCCAGCAGCCGCGGUAAUACGUAGGAGGCAAGCGUUAUCCGGAAUGACUGGGCGUAAGGGGUGCGUAGGUGGUUUGACAAGUUAGUAGCGUAACUCCGGGGCUCAACUUCGGAACUACUACUAAAACUGUUGGACUUGAGUGCAGGAGGGGCAAGCGGAAUUCCUAGUGUAGCGGUGGAAUGCGUAGAUAUUAGGAGGAACACCAGUGGCGAAGGCGGAUUACUAGACUGUAACUGACGCUGAGGCACGAAAGCGUGGGGAGCAAACAGGAUUAGAUACCCGGGUAGUC